CUCAUUUGCUCUGGGCAAAUUACCCUGUUUUUCCUGAGUUCAGAUCUUUUGCAAUCAUGUUGAUUUUAUCUUGUGUUUAUUAUUUUCCCUGGUUCCUGAGGUCUGACCUGGGAAGACCGUCCUGAUCUAGGAGAGGACGCUUAUCACCGCAAUCUUCACCUUACCUUUGGAUACAUUUUCUACCUGAGAUACAAUGCUCUGGAACCAAAUCUGCAGUAUCUCUGAGACCCUGCUGCCUCCCCCUGAGCCCCGGAAGAUUCCUGAGGUGCUCCUGAUGCUGGAACUCUGCAAUUCGGGGCGACCCUAACGCUUACUGUCCAGGCUGCCCAGACCUCCUCCUCUGAGCCCUACGGCUGUCGCUGUCCUCAGGCCCCACACCAAUCCCAAGGAUGUGCCUGGAAAGGAAGGACCAUGUCAACGUCAAGAGCGGUGGGCUGCGUUCAGCAUUAGCUCCUCUACCAAACCCGGCAACGCAUUCUGUAGGACAAGAGUUUCAGAGGACACGCUUGAGUCCACCAGGCAGGGCACUGAAGGCGGGCGCCGCGCUCACGCGCGCCGGGAGGCCAUCACUGCUGGGAGCAGGAGCCGGUUUAGAAAAUAGUGAAGUGCAGCAACAGCGUGCAGUUCUAAGAAAGAAAAGCUGGAAUAACAACUCCAGAAGCUAAUUCUAGGAAUUUAUUAUUGUAAUUUUUUUCAAUUGUUGCCGGCGACUCAAGCACUUUGUUACCUGAUUUCUAAGGACACAUUCUGAAUGGAUGUGGAGCGAGGAGCAAAAAAGGGAGCCCCUCGCUCCUUCAGCAGAUGUGAAUCAACUGUCCAACAUGGCUAAGACAGCAGUUCACGUCCCGGAAGGUACCCAGUUUGCCUGGAAGGAUGGAUCCACGUGCGGCAGGUAAGUCUGUGGCUUGGGGAACAGCCACCCUGACUAGUGUGUCGAGUGUAGGUCUGGCUGGCUAAGAAGGGCGGGAGGGCACCAAGGGACGCGAAAGGCUGUGAUGAAAGCCGCGACUGGUCACUUCGGUUCAUUUCAAAGGCUACAGGCUGUUCAGACUUCUCCAUGUCCCCGUGACAUUUGCAAUGACUAAUGUAAGGUUUAAAGUGCCCAACACACCUCGUAGAGGAGAGGUGGAUGUACUGAAGAUAAA